CAUGGAUGCACAAGUCAAAGCUAUUGCUGAUACUGGUGCAAAUGUCGUAGUAACAGGUGGCAAAGUGGCAGACAUGGCUCUUCAUUAUGCAAAUAAAUAUAAUAUCAUGUUAGUGAGGCUAAACUCAAAAUGGGAUCUCCGAAGACUUUGUAAAACUGUUGGUGCUACAGCUCUUCCUAGAUUGACACCUCCUGUCCUUGAAGAAAUGGGACACUGUGACAGUGUUUACCUCUCAGAAGUUGGAGAUACUCAGGUGGUGGUUUUUAAGCAUGGUAUGUAGGAAUGGUAAAACAUGUUUAAGUGUAGGGCUUUAGCUUCUUGUAUUUAAUCACCAAAUAUAUUUAAUUUUUUGAUAGAAAAGGAAGAUGGCGCCAUUUCUACCAUAGUACUUCGAGGCUCUACAGACAAUCUGAUGGAUGACAUAGAAAGGG
rnacentral:lncRNA from 1 species